GACUGCAUUUGAUUUUCAGACAGGGGUCCUUGGCAGGAUCAAGGCCUGAGAACAUGAAGCAGUCAUUAGGUCUGUGAACUGUACAGCUCCUGUAACGGACCAUGUUUCUCUCACGCUCAUCACCGAAGUCUUAAAGCCACUAAAUGUCCUUACAGCUAAAAACAGAUGGGCCUGGUGACGGAGGCUUCUCACUUCUUACAUCACACUGCACUCAAUGUCAAUCUCAAACUGAUCUGGAAUCAGAUUCGCCCUCACAGACUCAUAUGUUUUGUCACUUUGUGGUACGUUUCAGAACCAUGUCUGAACCCGAUUGUGUGAUAGCACUUUGUAAUGACUGAGGCUACACGUCUGCGUCUCUGCAGCGUUCAGAGCGACAUCCACCAGCACCAGCUAAAACCAACGUCUGAUCUCAGUGCAGUUCGUCAGUGACCUCCUCUCUAAAGAACCUUACAGUAAUCCCAGAACAGCUUUGGAGGAUUAUCCUGCCUCCAUCAUACCAACGCACUAAGCUUGUGUUAUUGUUUCACCAAUGUGUUAUUAUGUGUGUUGAGGAUAAAGUUAUUAGUAAGUGUGACUAAGUGUAUAUGUUCAUGUCCUGAUGUGACUGGAGUUUCUCUCUCCUACUAAAUGAAUGGAGAAUUAAAACAGGUGAAACAUCA